rnacentral:rRNA from 1 species
AAUAUUGGGCAAUGGGCGCAAGCCUGACCCAGCAACGCCGCGUGAGUGAAGAAGGUUUNCGGAUCNCNAAACUCUGUCAUUGGGGNCGAAUAAAUGACGGUACCCAUGGAGGAAGCCCCGGCUAACUACGUGCCAGCAGCCGCGGUAAUACGUAGGGGGCAAGCGUUGUCCGGAAUUAUUGGGCGUAAAGGGUGCGUAGGCGGCCUUUUAAGUCAGAUGUGAAAGCCCACGGCUCAACCGUGGGAUUGCAUUUGAAACUGGAGGGCUUGAGUAUCGGAGAGGGUAGUGGAAUUCCCAGUGUAGCGGUGAAAUGCGUAGAUAUUGGGAGGAACACCAGUGGCGAAGGCGACUACCUGGACGAUUACUGACGCUGAUGCACGAAAGCUAGGGGAGCAAACA